rnacentral:rRNA from 1 species
GAUCCUGGCUCAGAGUGAACGCUGGCGGCAGGCCUAAUACAUGCAAGUCGAACGGCAGCACAGCAGAGCUUGCUCUGUGGGUGGCGAGUGGCGGACGGGUGAGGAAUACAUGGGAAUCUGCCCAGUCGUGGGGGAUAACGUAUGGAAACGUACGCUAAUACCGCAUGCGCCCUACGGGGGAAAGCCGGGGACCUUCGGGCCUGGCGCGAUUGGAUGAGCCCAUGUUCGAUUAGCUAGG